rnacentral:rRNA from 1 species
UGAGAAUACCGGCUGAACUUAAGCAUAUCACUAAGCCGAGGAAAAAGAAACUAACAAGGAUACCCUAAGUAACGGCGAGUGAACCGGGUAAUGCUCAAUCUUAAAAUCUGUGUCUCACAUGAGGCAUCGAAUUGUAGUUUUUGAUAAUCAUUCCCUCUUCUUUUAAUAUAAUUAAAGUCUCUUGGAAUAGAGUGUCAUAGAAGGUGAGAACCCUGUGAAUAGUUAUAUUAAAAGGAGGAUAUUGAGUUUGAUUAUCAUAGAGUCGGGUUGUUUGGGAAUGCAGCCUAAAAAGGGUGGUAAAUCUCAUCUAAAGCUAAAUAUUUGGUAAGAGACCGAUAGAAUACAAGUACCGUGAGGGAAAGAUGAAAAGAACUUUGAAAAGAGAGUUAAAAGUACUUGAAAUUGUU